ACAGAGGUCCCAAGCGUUGUUCGGAUUCACUGGGCGUAAAGGGUGCGUAGGUGGUUAGGUAAGUCUGAUGUGAAAUCUCUGGGCUCAACCCAGAAACUGCAUUGGAUACUAUCUAGCUAGAGGAGUGGAGGGGGGACUGGAAUACUUGGUGUAGCAGUGAAAUGCGUAGAUAUCAAGUGGAACACCAGUGGCGAAGGCGAGUCCCUGGACACUUCCUGACACUGAGGCACGAAAGCUAGGGGAGCAAACAGGA
rnacentral:rRNA from 1 species